AUUGAACGCUGGCGGCAGGCCUAACACAUGCAAGUCGAGCGGAUGAGUGGAGCUUGCUCCAUGAUUCAGCGGCGGACGGGUGAGUAAUGCCUAGGACUCUGCCUGGUAGUGGGGGACAACGUUUCGAAAGGAACGCUAAUACCGCAUACGUAUUGCGGGAGAAAGGGGGGGAUCUUCGGACCUCACGCUAUCAGAUGUGCCUAGGUCGGAUUUGCUAGUUGGUGAGGUAAAGGCUCACCAAGGCGACGAUCCGUAACUGGUCUGAGAGGAUGAUCAGUCACACUGGAACUGAGACACGGUCCAGACUCCUACGGGAGGAAGCAGUGGGGAAUAUUGGACAAUGGGCGAAAGCCUGAUCCAGCAAUGCCGCGUGUGUGAAGAAGGUCUUCGGAUUGUAAAGCACUUUAAGUUGGGAGGAAGGGCAGUAAGUUAAUACCUUGCUGUUUUGACGUGACCAACAGAAGAAGCACCGGCUAACUUCGUGCCAGCAGCCGCCGUAACAC
rnacentral:rRNA from 1 species